rnacentral:tRNA from 1 species
GAGGUCUUGGCUUAAUUAAAGUGUUUGAGUUGCAAUCAGAAGAUGUAGUGAUAUACAGGCCUUC